UCCCCAGGUGCAGGGUGGCGGUGGCCCAGGCAGGACAGCCGGGAGGCGGGGAGGGGAUGCCGGGAGUGUCUGAGCCGCCAGUCUCAGGAGCGGGCAUGGUGCCGACAGUGGGAGCGGGCACUGGGCCCUGGCUCUACAGGGUCGCAACACCCAGGUGAAGGGAUGAGCAUUUUGCUAGGACACGGCUGUCAUCCGUGCAGUCACCCCCAGGGUGAGAGGGCAGUUUGCAUCCCAGGCACCACAAACCAUGCUCCCAAACUCCUGGGCAGCGGCCUCUGCCUGAGACGCCACAGCAGUGACCAGAGCUGCCUGAUGCCUGGAAGCAGGGCCUCAGUUGGCCUGGGGUUCAGAGCAACUCUUUCAGGCCGAAGGAAGGGUCAGCCCCAGACACCUGCGAGGCAGGAGGCCUGGCCGUGGGCCCUGAAAACUUCCUGUUUGCACCAUGGCCCGGAGACCGGCCAUGCCUGCUUCUGCGACUGGGGGCUCCCUGGGGACCAGACCACGGCCAACAGAAGGGGCUGGCCUGCCGGGGGCCACGGGGCCGCACAGCGCACCGGGUUUGCGGUCAGCUCCUGGCGCUGUGACCUCACUGCGGGGCUGCCUUCCUCUGCUCCAGCUCCGACAGCUGCUCCUCCCGGGCCCGUGCGUGCUGCGUCCCCACUCUGUGCGCUGUCUCGGUGGCCGUGAUGUCGAUCUGGGCGUAGAGGGAGGCGCCAGCCCCUGAAAGAAUUCUGCAGUGAGCGGCAGCCUGCGCCCCCGAGCCACCCAGCCCUGUGACCCUGCCCUCCACACCAGUCCCCCAGCCAGGCCCUCGGAAGCAUCUGAGUGGGGACACCCUCAGGGGAUGUGGCCUGGCCAGGGAUGGAGUUGGGGACGUUUGCCUCCUGGGGGGAGGCUGUAGGAAAAGCUCCCUGGCCAAGGGCUGCUGGGUGGGGCUGGGGGCUCAGGGCCCUGAGGCUGUGGUCCCAGCCCCCCACUGUCAGGGCUUCCACACAGGGUGGGGACCCACCUCGGACACCCUCGCUGGCCUCCUGGAGCUCCAGGCCCAUGUAGUGCACCUGCUUUCUGGAGGAUGGGCUGAUGGGGAUGUUCACGCCUGAGGGCUCCGCACCGUGGGCACCCAGGUCCUACAGGAAGGACCCCGUUCUCCAGUGCCGCCUCCCAUUCUUGUCAUCAGGACCUCGUGAGGGAAUGCACAGCCACGUGAGGCAGGGGAGGCAGCAGCCGGGACAGAGCGAGACGGAGCCCAGGUCGAUGAGGGUUCGCUCACCUGAUUCCAUGAACUAAAGCAACCAACACAAUUCUGCCCCAACCCUGC